rnacentral:tmRNA from 1 species
GGCGUUGCGCUCGCUUGCGCCUUUUCCUAUAUCGGUUUCGCCGGGUUCGCCCGGCUAUGGCGAUAAACUGCGGCGUUCAAUAGACGCAGCGGACCCGGGGGCGGUACCCGGCGGCUCCACCACCUGAGCCGAGCCACUGGGCCAGCACGCGUGAAGCGUGCCGGCCGAGCGGCUCAGCUGGAGGGGCCGAACUAGGAUCGACGUGUGUUGAAAAGCGCUGUUUUCGCCCGGAAUGGGACCACCGCAACGGCCCAUAUCACAAGUGCCAACGACAACGAGGCGCUCGCGAUUGCCGCGUAAUCUGGACCUCACGGUUUAGAUUACAUCGGACAAAAGCGCGGUUCGGGCCGCACCGGGCAACAGAAGCGGAUACC